GCUAUACUGCAAGUCGAACGAACUCUGGUAUUGAUUGGUGCUUGCAUCAUGAUUUACAUUUGAGUGAGUGGCGAACUGGUGAGUAACACGUGGGAAACCUGCCCAGAAGCGGGGGAUAACACCUGGAAACAGAUGCUAAUACCGCAUAACAACUUGGACCGCAUGGUCCGAGUUUGAAAGAUGGCUUCGGCUAUCACUUUUGGAUGGUCCCGCGGCGUAUUAGCUAGAUGGUGAGGUAACGGCUCACCAUGGCAAUGAUACGUAGCCGACCUGAGAGGGUAAUCGGCCACAUUGGGACUGAGACACGGCCCAAACUCCUACGGGAGGCAGCAGUAGGGAAUCUUCCACAAUGGACGAAAGUCUGAUGGAGCAACGCCGCGUGAGUGAAGAAGGGUUUCGGCUCGUAAAACUCUGUUGUUAAAGAAGAACAUAUCUGAGAGUAACUGUUCAGGUAUUGACGGUAUUUAACCAGAAAGCCACGGCUAACUACGUGCCAGCAGCCGCGGUAAUACGUAGGUGGCAAGCGUUGUCCGGAUUUAUUGGGCGUAAAGCGAGCGCAGGCGGUUUUUUAAGUCUGAUGUGAAAGCCUUCGGCUCAACCGAAGAAGUGCAUCGGAAACUGGGAAACUUGAGUGCAGAAGAGGACAGUGGAACUCCAUGUGUAGCGGUGAAAUGCGUAGAUAUAUGGAAGAACACCAGUGGCGAAGGCGGCUGUCUGGUCUGUAACUGACGCUGAGGCUCGAAAGUAUGGGUAGCAAACAGGAUUAGAUACCCUGGUAGUCCAUACCGUAAACGAUGAAUGCUAAGUGUUGGAGGGUUUCCGCCCUUCAGUGCUGCAGCUAACGCAUUAAGCAUUCCGCCUGGGGAGUACGGCCGCAAGGCUGAAACUCAAAGGAAUUGACGGGGGCCCGCACAAGCGGUGGAGCAUGUGGUUUAAUUCGAAGCUACGCGAAGAACCUUACCAGGUCUUGACAUACUAUGCAAAUCUAAGAGAUUAGACGUUCCCUUCGGGGACAUGGAUACA
rnacentral:rRNA from 1 species